AUUGAACGCUAGCGGCAUGCUUAACACAUGCAAGUCGAACGGAGUGGCGGACGGGUGAGUAAUGUAUCGGAACGUGCCCGGUAGGGGGGGAUAACUACUGGAAACGGUGGCUAAUACCGCAUACUAUUGGAUGAACCGAUAUUGGAUUAGCUAGUAGGUGGGGUAAAGGCUCACCAAGGCGACGAUCCGUAGCUGGUUUGAGAGGAUGAUCAGCCACACUGGGACUGAGACACGGCCCAGACUCCUACGGGAGGCAGCAGUGGGGAAUCUUGCACAAUGGGGGCAACCCUGAUCCAGCCAUGCCGCGUGUAUGAAGAAGGCCUUCGGGUUGUAAAGUACUUUUAGUGGGGAAGCGUUACCUGCAGAAGAAGCACCGGCUAACUACGUGCCAGCAGCCGCGGUAAUAC
rnacentral:rRNA from 1 species